rnacentral:rRNA from 1 species
AGCUACGGCCAUGCCACCCUGAACAAGCCCGAUCCCAUCUGAUCUUGGAAGCUAAGCAGGAUCGGGCUUGGUUGGGAGACCACUCAGGAAGACCAGGUGCUGUAGGCG